AAAAAUGCAAAUGCAAUUGCAGGUUUUGCAAUCUCCCUCGUCUCCACAAACCCUAGCAUUAGGCGACUGCGAGACUCGGCGACCAUCAUCGGAGAGAGAAGCUUCGACGACGAACAGGGGAGGGGACGAUGAAGGGCUUGAGCAUCGGCGACGAAGAAGGAGUAACAGCGACGACAAGCCUAGAGGCGUGAGCAGACCGGUGGUGACCUCCAGCAGCUACGAACAGCGUCAACAGCGAGGAUAGACGCCACAUCUCCGGCAGCGUUCGUGUUCCCAAGUUGUGUUCCAUUAUGCCUAAAACUCUAAACUAAUCGUAGAAUGUGAAGUGUUUGGUUUUAGUAUGUUUUUCUCAUUUUUUAUCCUUGCGCUGGUGUUUAGAUCUGCUAAUCAAUUGAUUUCUUCGCAUGUGUAAUUAAUUAAUUAUGAAUCUUUGUUGGUUUAAUUCUGAAUCAGUUUUUCUUUUUCAAGGGAUAAGAUGGAAUCUAUGGACAUAGUUGGUAAAUCGAAAGAGGAUGCUUCGCUUCCCAAAGGUUUUUAUUUUUCCAGUUUUGUGUCUUGAAUUCUCGAUUCGUUGUUGUAGUUUUUGUUGGUGCUAUUGUAUUUGAUUCAUGGUUUUGCCACAAGGAUUUUUAUGGUUGAAUUAUUCUGCAAAGAUGUUUUCUUUUC